rnacentral:rRNA from 1 species
UACGUAGGGUGCAAGCGUUGUCCGGAAUUAUUGGGCGUAAAGAGCUCGUAGGCGGUUUGUCGCGUCUGCUGUGAAAACCUAAGGCUCAACCUUGGGCUUGCAGUGGGUACGGGCAGACUAGAGUGCGGUAGGGGAGACUGGAAUUCCUGGUGUAGCGGUGAAAUGCGCAGAUAUCAGGAGGAACACCGGUGGCGAAGGCGGGUCUCUGGGCCGAUACUGACGCUGAGGAGCGAAAGCGUGGGGAGCGAACAGG